CGAGAGGACCGGAGUGGACGCAUCACUGGUGUUCGGGUUGUCAUGCCAAUGGCACUGCCCGGUAGCUAAAUGCGGAAGAGAUAAGUGCUGAAAGCAUCUAAGCACGAAACUUGCCCCGAGAUGAGUUCUCCCUGACUCCUUGAGAGUCCUGAAGGAACGUUGAAGACGACGACGUUGAUAGGCCGGGUGUGUAAGCGCAGCGAUGCGUUGAGCUAACCGGUACUAAUGAACCGUGAGGCUU
rnacentral:rRNA from 1 species